AUUGAACGCUGGCGGAAUGCUUUACACAUGCAAGUCGAGCGGCAGCGCGGGGCAACCUGGCGGCGAGCGGCGAACGGGUGAGUAAUACAUCGGAACGUACCCAGUUGUGGGGGAUAGCCCGGCGAAAGCCGGAUUAAUACCGCAUACGACCUGAGGGUGAAAGCGGGGGAUCGCAAGACCUCGCGCAGUUGGAGCGGCCGAUGGCGGAUUAGCUAGUUGGUGAGGUAAAGGCUCACCAAGGCGACGAUCCGUAGCUGGUCUGAGAGGACGACCGGCCACACUGGAACUGAGACACGGUCCAGACUCCUACGGGAGGCAGCAGUGGGGAAUUUUGGACAAUGGGGGAAACCCUGAUCCAGCCAUUCCGCGUGAGUGAAGAAGGCCUUCGGGUUGUAAAGCUCUUUCGGCAGGAACGAAACGGCGAGCUCUAACAUAGCUUGCUAAUGACGGUACCUGAAGAAGAAGCACCGGCUAACUACGUGCCAGCAGCCGCCGUAA
rnacentral:rRNA from 1 species